AUGGCUCAGGACGAACGCUGGCGGCGUGCCUAAUACAUGCAAGUCGAACGGUCUUUCUAUGGAAGCUUGCUCCCACUGAGAAGAUAGUGGCGAACGGGUGAGUAACACGUGGGUAACCUGCCCAUAAGAGGGGGGAUAACAUCCGGAAACGGGUGCUAAUACCGCAUAGUUUUCUUGAUCGCAUGAUUGAGAAAGGAAAGACGGCCUUUGUGCUGUCGCUUAUGGAUGGACCCGCGGCGUAUUAGUUAGUUGGUGAGGUAACGGCUCACCAAGACGAUGAUACGUAGCCGACCUGAGAGGGUGAUCGGCCACAUUGGGACUGAGACACGGCCCAAACUCCUACGGGAGGCAGCAGUAGGGAAUAUUGCACAAUGGGGGAAACCCUGAUGCAAGCAACGCCGCGUGAGUGAUGACGGCCUUCGGGUUGUAAAGCUCUGUCUUCAGGGACGAUAAUGACGGUACCUGAGGAGGAAGCCACGGCUAACUACGUGCCAGCAGCGGC
rnacentral:rRNA from 1 species